UACGUAGGGUGCAAGCGUUAAUCGGAAUUACUGGGCGUAAAGGGCGCGCAGGCGGCUAUCCAAGUCAGGCGUGAAAGCCCCGGGCUUAACCUGGGAGGUGCGUCUGGGACUGGGUGGCUAGAGUUCGGGAGAGGAGAGUGGAAUUCCCAGUGUAGAGGUGAAAUUCGUAGAUAUUGGGAAGAACACCGGUGGCGAAGGCGGCUCUCUGGACCGAGACUGACGCUGAGGCGCGAAAGCGUGGGGAGCAAACAGG
rnacentral:rRNA from 1 species